GGAUCUGGAGUUCAAGACCUAUCGAGAGAUGUAAUUUUACAUCCUCGAUACGCCAUCACAUUUGAUUAGAUCCACAAGUUUGAAAUCUUGAAUGAGGCAUAACAGAAACUACUGUAGGGCUAACCUCAACUUCAACAACCUCCACCAUAAACACAAAAACCGUUUCAACCUCACAUCUAUUGUGAUGAAACAACACAUGAACACGGUUCUUGAUGGGCAUGUUUUAUUUCAUGCAGGAUAUGGGCGCCCAUUUGGGUCUGCCACUAACUUACUUCACCCAUCAGGCAGAUCAGUGGACAGUAGCGCAAAGAUUCCAUGAUACUUUCUUUGCACCAUCUCCACCACCUCUUUAUGGAAAGUUUCAAUAGCGCCCACCACCACAGUAAGGUGGUCAACCUCAAAAUGACGAGGAUUAUUGAGCAUUGAUUAUGAUAAAAGUACUAAAUAACAGUUACGUAG
rnacentral:lncRNA from 1 species